UGACUUGGGUCGGGCGGCUACACAUGCAGUCGAGCGGUAGAGAGAAGCUUGCUUCUCUUGAGAGCGGCGGACGGGUGAGUAAUGCCUAGGAAUCUGCCUGGUAGUGGGGGAUAACGUUCGGAAACGGACGCUAAUACCGCAUACGUCCUACGGGAGAAAGCAGGGGACCUUCGGGCCUUGCGCUAUCAGAUGAGCCUAGGUCGGAUUAGCUAGUUGGUGGGGUAAUGGCUCACCAAGGCGACGAUCCGUAACUGGUCUGAGAGGAUGAUCAGUCACACUGGAACUGAGACACGGUCCAGACUCCUACGGGAGGCAGCAGUGGGGAAUAUUGGACAAUGGGCGAAAGCCUGAUCCAGCCAUGCCGCGUGUGUGAAGAAGGUCUUCGGAUUGUAAAGCACUUUAAGUUGGGAGGAAGGGCAGUAAAUUAAUACUUUGCUGUUUUGACGUUACCGACAGAAUAAGCACCGGCUUACUCUGUG
rnacentral:rRNA from 1 species